rnacentral:rRNA from 1 species
CAACGCGAAGAACCUUACCAGGUCUUGACAUACCAUUGACCGUUCUAGAGAUAGGAUUUUCCCUUCGGGGACAAUGGAUACAGGUGGUGCAUGGUUGUCGUCAGCUCGUGUCGUGAGAUGUUGGGUUAAGUCCCGCAACGAGCGCAACCCCUGUCGUUAGUUGCCAGCAUUCAGUUGGGGACUCUAACGAGACUGCCAGUGACAAACUGGAGGAAGGUGGGGAUGACGUCAAAUCAUCAUGCCCCUUAUGACCUGGGCUACACACGUGCUACAAUGGUUGGUACAAAGAGAAGCGAAGCGGUGACGUGGAGCAAACCUCAUAAAGCCAAUCUCAGUUCGGAUUGUAGGCUGCAACUCGCCUACAUGAAGUUGGAAUCGCUAGUAAUCGCGAAUCAGAAUGUCGCGGUGAAUACGUUCCCGGGUCUUGUACACACCGCCCGUCACACCACGAGAGUUUACAACACCCGAAGUCAGUGGCCUAACCGCAAGGAGGGAGCUGCCUAAGGUGGGGUAGAUGAUUGGGGUGAAGUCGUAACAAGGUAUCCCUACCGGAAGGUGC